rnacentral:rRNA from 1 species
UACGGAGGAGGCAAGCGUUAUCCGGAAUUAUUGGGCGUAAAGCGUCCGCAGGUGGCGAUUCAAGUCUGCGGUUAAAGACUGGGGCUUAACCCUGGAAAGGCCGUGGAAACUGAAACGCUAGAGUGCAGUAGGGGUAGAGGGAAUUCCCGGUGUAGCGGUGAAAUGCGUAGAGCUCGGGAAGAACAUCGGUGGCGAAGGCGGCAUCCUGGACCGGUAUUGACGCUGAGGCGCGAAAGCCAGGGGAGCAAACGGGG